CCUACGGGUGGCAGCAGUGGGGAAUAUUGCACAAUGGGCGAAAGCCUGAUGCAGCGACGCCGCGUGAGGGAUGACGGCCUUCGGGUUGUAAACCUCUUUCAGCAGGGACGAAGCGCAAGUGACGGUACCUGCAGAAGAAGCACCGGCUAACUACGUGCCAGCAGCCGCGGUAAUACGUAGGGUGCAAGCGUUGUCCGGAAUUACUGGGCGUAAAGAGUUCGUAGGCGGUUUGUCGCGUCGUUUGUGAAAACCAGCAGCUCAACUGCUGGCUUGCAGGCGAUACGGGCAGACUUGAGUACUGCAGGGGAGACUGGAAUUCCUGGUGUAGCGGUGAAAUGCGCAGAUAUCAGGAGGAACACCGGUGGCGAAGGCGGGUCUCUGGGCAGUAACUGACGCUGAGGAACGAAAGCGUGGGUAGCGAACAGGAUUAGAUACCCUA
rnacentral:rRNA from 1 species